UACGGGGGGAGCAAGCGUUGUUCGGAUUUACUGGGCGUAAAGGGCGCGUAGGCGGCCGUUUGCGUCGGAUGUGAAAGCCCGGGGCUCAACCUCGGAACGGCAUUCGAUACGGGACGGCUGGAGACCGGGAGAGGAGAGUGGAAUAGCCAGUGUAGAGGUGAAAUUCGUAGAUAUUGGCUGGAACACCGGUGGCGAAAGCGGCUCUCUGGCCCGGUUCUGACGCUGAGGCGCGAAAGCGUGGGGAGCGAACAGG
rnacentral:rRNA from 1 species